GUUGACUCUCCGUUUCAACUUAUCUCAAAAGUGAGGACCUCAACCUAUAUACCAGUUUUUAAAUUGUGUUGAAAGGCCAAAUAAAACCAGAGUUAUGAUAAAUUAUGUCCGCGAUACUUUUUUUUCUGCUUAUUUUGAUCACGUUCGGCGCUCGAUCGCGCUGUAUGAGACAGGAAAACAUAGCAUGCAGACAUUAGCGACAGGUCUUACAGGCGGAAAAGGCUUGCCAAAAGAAAAAAAAAACACACCACAACAUCUCUCCUAUUGGUGGAAAACUUCACCACAACAACCAAUCCAAAAUUAUAUGGUGACUGAUUGACAAGGGGCGGGCGCUUACGUUCUUCCUGCAACAUGAGAAGCGAGGGAGGGACUCUCAGCAGGGAUGCAGUCUGGGACACGUAGUUGCAAACCUAGCGACUUUGUUGUUAGAUUCAAUGACUUUUCAGACCCCCUAACGACUUUUUUUUAGAAAGCAAGGGACUUUUAUCGACUUCUUCUGGAGUUUAGAGACUCUGACAUGAAGCAGGCUUUCCUUACUGAGGAGUUAGCAACGCUGCUAAGGGUGCAGAGCCACACAUGCGCUCAGAGCUCUGCAUGGGAGACUGAAGCUGACAGAGCUGCAGCAGUUAGCAGGUUUCACCCUCAGAGACCACCAGGGGUUCAUGUUGAGGCAUUUUAAUUUUUUUUUUUUUUUGUGCCAUAGACACUGUCAGCACAAUCUGCAGUUACACUAACAAAAAUGCUGCAAAAAACAAAGAAUUAUGGAAAAAUUACACAUGGACUGACAUAGAGGAGGAUCUACACAAGUUUUUUACAUCAUGUUUUACAUCAUGCAUCAUUUACAUCAUGUUUUUUUGUAGUGGCAUAAAUAAAAAGUGACAUUUGUGAGACUAUACAGUGUUUUGUAAAUAAUUUUACAAAGAACGCCUGGGCCAUUGCCUGCAUUUUGAUGUAAAUAGAGGUAAAUCACUAUGUUCUUUGUUAAAAAUUUGCAUAUGUUUUGAAGUUUACAAUUUUUAUUUGAAGUUUAAGUUUUAAAAACAGUUCAUCACACAUAUUUGUGGUUUUCACAGUAAAAAUGUUACUUUUUUCCACUCGGAUUUUAUGUUUUGUGUGUGAAUUUGGGUCCAUUGUGUAAAUUCAGUAUGUCAACAUGAUAAAAUAACUGUAAAUUCGCACAGGUGAGGUUGUGCUGAAAAAAAUGAUACCAGGCAAGGCACGUGAUUGUCAAAUCUUGUGUCAAUAUGACAAAGCGUAUAGGCGUGAAUCUCAACAAUAUGUAUUUUCACCUUAGGGGACAAGAAAAAAUGGACUUUUUUCUCCUGCCAUGGGGGGGCGCUCUUUUGGGGAGUAAAAAUUCCUUCACAAAUGUGUUGAUGGCUGGACAUUGCAUCAUCCUAGAAAACUUGGAGGCCAGUGAGGACAAAAAUAAAAAGUUAUAAGACUUUUAAAUAUGUGGAUUUUAGGGUUAUUUUUGGCGCCCCCUAGAACCUAAACCGUGGGGUGCAGCGUCAUGAUUUGAAUAACUUUUAAUGGCCAUGGGGUGUAGAUUGGCCUGAGCAAAUGUGGUGCCGGUGGAACGAAAGCCUUCGGAGGAGUUAGCGAAAUUCCAAUGUGUGCAGAUCUGCAAAAAAUGCAAAAUAACCCAUUAACCGUACAUUUGACAGAUACGCCCACACUGACUUUUUUGUAGAUCUUAUUGAGAUACAUGUGUGUGUCAAUUUUUGUGUCAUUUUGCCAAAGCGUAAAGGCGUGACACUCAACAAUGUGUAUUUUCACCUUAGGGGACAAGAAAAAAUGGACUUUUUUCUCCUGCCAUGGGGGGGCGCUCUUUUGGGGAGUAAAAAUUCCUUCACAAAUGUGUUGAUGGCUGGACAUUGCAUCAUCCUAGAAAACUUGGAGGCCAGUGAGGACAAAAAUAAAAAGUUAUAAGACUUUUAAAUAUGUGGAUUUUAGGGUUAUUUUUGGCGCCCCCUAGAACCUAAACCGUGGGGUGCAGCGUCAUGAUUUGAAUAACUUUUAAUGGCCAUGGGGUGUAGAUUGGCCUGAGCAAAUGUGGUGCCGGUGGAACGAAAGCCUUCGGAGGAGUUAGCGAAAUUCCAAUGUGUGCAGAUCUGCAAAAAAUGCAAAAUAACCCAUUAACCGUACAUUUGACAGAUACGCCCACACUGACUUUUUUGUAGAUCUUAUUGAGAUACAUGUGUGUGUCAAUUUUUGUGUCAAUAUGACAAAGCGUACAGCCGUCAUGUGAAUUUUCACCUUAGGGGGCGCUAUGGAGCCAUUUUGCAUUUUAUUGUUUGGGCGACUUCGGAAUAUCAAAUUUUUCACCAGGCCCGGUCGUCCUGCCAAAUUUCAUGAGUUUUCGCCAGUGGGAAGUGGGCCAUUUUCCAGUUCAAAGGGGAGGAAAAAGAAAAAAGAAACAAAGAAAAACCACUUGGGGAAUAAUAGGGCUCUCGCAGCUGCUUAGCAGCUACGCUCGGGCCCUAACUAGGGCCCCGUUGGGGCACUGGCGGGCCCGAGCCGUGUCGCGCCGCCCCCAGCGCGACCGCCUACCCCUCCCGAUCGCGUCACACUCAAGGUCCAAAGAUGGUGUGCGCACUUGUCUGUGGUCAUUUACCAUUAUAAUGAAUGGGAGGCGCAGUUUCUACCAAAACGCUCGCUGCAGACAAACUCCAUGUCCUAUUUGAAAAAAGUCUGGAACAUGAGUGAGGGCACAAACACAGCUAAGAUAUAUCCAAAUGGCAAGUUGCUCCUCCUUUCGGUUUUGCCGAGAGAGCGAUGCGUUUAAGCCAUUAAGCGAUGGGCAGGAACAACUUGACCUUUUCUCCGGCCAUGGGGGGCGCUCUUUUGGAGAGUAAAAAUUCCUUCACAACUGUGUUGAUGGCUGAACAUUGCAUUAUCCUAGAAAACUUGGAGGCCAGUGAGGACAAAAAUAAAAAGUUAUAAGACUUUUGAAAAUGUGGAUUUUUGGGUUAUCUUUGGCGCCCCCUAGAACGUAAACCGUGGGGUGCAGCGUCAUGAUUUUUACAACUUUGAAUGGCCAUGGGGUUUAGAUUGGCCUGAGCAAAUUUGGUGCCGAUGGGACGAAAGCUUUAGGAGGAGUUAGCCACAUUCCAAUGUGUGCGAAUUGGCAAAAAAUGCGAAAUAGCCCUUUAACCGUACAUUUGACAGAUACGCCCGCAUUGACUUUUUCGUAGAUCUUAUUGAGAUACACUUGAUUGUCAAAUUUUGUGUCAAUAUGACAAAGCGUAUAGGUGUGACACUCAACAAUGUGUAUUUUUACCUUGGGGGUAAAGAAAAAAUGGACUUUUUUCUCCUGCCAUGGGGGGGCGCCCUUUUAGGGAGUAAAAAUUCCUUCACACAUGUGCUGAUGGCUGGACAUUGCAUCAUCCUAGAAAACUUGGAGGCCAGUGAGGACAAAAAUAAAGUUAUAAGACUUUUAAAAAUGUGGAUAUUUGGGUCCUCUUUGGCGCCCCCUAGAACGUAAACCGUGGGGUGCAGCGUCAUGAUUUUUACAAAUUUGAAUGGCCAUGGGGUUUAGAUUUGCCUGAGCAAAUGUGGUGUCAGUGGGACGAAAGCUUUAGGAGGAGUUAGCGAAAUUCCAAUGUGUGCGAAUCGGCAAAAGAUGCAAAAUAGCCCUUUAACCGUACUUUUUACAGAUACGCACACAUUGACUUUUUCGUAGAUCUUAUUGAGAUACACGUGAUUGUCAAAUUUUGUGUCAAUAUGCCUAAGCGUACAGGCGUGACACUCAACAAUGUGUAUUUUCGCCUUAGGGGACAAGAAAAAAUGGACUUUUUUCUCCUGCCAUGGGGGGGCGCUCUUUUGGCGAGUAAAAAUUCCUUCACAAAUGUGUUAAUUGCUGGACAUUGCAUCAUCCUAGAGAACUUGGAGGCCAGUGAGGACAAAAAUAAAAAGUUAUAAGACUUUUAAGACUGUGGAUUUUUGGGUUAUCUUUGGCUCCCCCUAGAACCUAAACCGUGGGGUGCAGCGUCAUGAUUUGUACAACUUUUAAUGGCCAUGGGGUGUAGAUUGGCCUGAGCAAAUGUGGUGCCGGUGGAACGAAAGCCUUCGGAGGAGUUAGCGAAAUUCCAAUGUGUGCGGAUCGGCAAAAAAUGCGAAAUAACCCUUUAACCGUACAUUUGACAGAUACGCCCGCACUGACUUUUUUGUAGAUCUUAUUGAGAUACAUGUGUGUGUCAAAUUUUGAGUCAAUAUGACAAAGCGUACAGGCGUGACAGUCAAUAGUGUAAAUUUUCACCUUAGGGGGCGCUAUGGAGCCAUUUUGCAUUUUAUUGUUUGGGCGACUUCAGAAUAUCGAAUUUUUCACCAGGCCCGGUCGUCCUGCCAAAUUUCAUGAGUUUUCGCCAGUGGGAAGUGGGCCAUUUUCCCCUUCAAAGGGGAGGAAAAAUAAGAAGAAAGAAAGAAAGAAAGAAAGAAAGAAGAAAGAAAAACCUAUACAGGAAUAAUAGGGCUCUACGCCCGGCUGCUCUGCAGCUGGCUCGGGCCCUAAUAAUAAUAACUAGGGCCCCGUUGGGGCACUGGCGGGCCCGAGCCGUGUCGCCUCUGCAUUCUUGUCAAAUAUGUAAAUAGCAUGUUUUUGCAGGUGCUAAAAAACAGACUCUGAGUGUGUGUGUGUGUGUGUGCGUGUGUGUGUGUGUGUCUGUGUGUGUGUGUGUGUGUAUCCUGCAGUACUCUGAGAAGAAUAAUAAUCAUAUUUCUGAGGUGAAUUUUGAAGAUUCAUCUGAGAGUUAGGUUUGAUUCGAUUCGAUUGACGCUCCCCAGCGUUCAAGUCACAUGACAUAUUUAACCGGAUGUAGCUGCAAGACGGAGCCUCGUUAACUCUCCGUUUCAACUUAUCUCAAAAGUGAGGACCUCAACCUAUAUACCAGUUUUUAAAUUGUGUUGAUAGGCCAAAUAAAACCAGAGUUAUGAUAAAUUAUGUCCGCGAUACUUUUUUUCUGCUUAUUUUGAUCACGUUCGGCGCUCGAUCGCGCUGUAUGAGACAGGAAAACAUAGCAUGCACACAUUAGCGACAGGUCUUACAGGCGGAAAAGGCUUGCCAAAAGAAAAAAAAAACACACCACAACAUCUCUCCUAUUGGUGGAAAACUUCACCACAACAACCAAUCCAAAAUUAUAUGGUGACUGAUUGACAAGGGGCGGGCGCUUACGUUCUUCCUGCAACAUGAGAAGGGAGGGAGGGACUCUCAGCAGGGAUGCAGUCUGGGACACGUAGUUGCAAACCUAGCGACUUUGUUGUUAGAUUCAAUUACUUUUCAGACCCCCUAACGACUUUUUUUUAGAAAGAAAGGGACUUUUAUCGACUUCUUCUGGAGUUUAGAGACUCUGACAUGAAGCAGGCUUUCCUUACUGAGGAGUUAGCAACGCUGCUAAGGGUGCAGAGCCACACAUGCGCUCCGAGCUCUGCAUGGGAGACUGAAGCUGACAGAGCUGCAGCAGUUAGCAGGUUUCACCCUCAGAGACCACCAGGGGUUCAUGUUGAGGCAUUUUCAGUUUUUGUUUUUUUUUGCCAUAGACUGUCAGCACAAUCUGCAGUUACACUAACAAAAAUGCUGCAAAAAACAAAGAAUUAUGGAAAAAUUACACAUGGACUGACAUAGAGGAGGAUCUACACAAGUUUUUUACAUCAUGUUUUACAUCAUGCAUCAUUUACAUCAUGUUUUUUUGUAGUGGCAUAAAUAAAAAGUGACAUUUGUGAGACUAUACAGUGUUUUGUAAAUAAUUUUACAAAGAUUGCUGGGCCAUUGCCUGCAUUUUGAUGUAAAUAGAGGUAAAUUACUAUGUUCUUUGUUAAAAAUUUGCAUAUGUUUUGAAGUUUACAAUUUUUAUUUGAAGUUUAAGUUUUAAAAACAGUUCAUCACACAUAUUUGUGGUUUAAUUUCACAUUAAUUUCCAUAUUGUAUAAAUGACUGGAAAAAACUUGAGCCCCUGCCCCUGUAUAAUCAUGUGCACGUCCCUGUUCUAGCUCCAAGGUGAAUCUUCACUGCUCAUGUUCUCCUCAGAAAAAGUCACCUCACUCCCCUCAGGUUACUGUACACAUGCACCAACUAUCUGCUUCAGGUUUGGAUGGAGCUUCAUGGUUGUCUUUUGGAGAAAUGAACAGUCAAGUUGUGUUUGAAAUUUGAUUUUUUUCAGGGGCAAAAGGAAGCCUCUGCAUUCUUGUCAAAUAUGUAAACAGCAUGUUUUUGCAGGUGCUAAAAAACAGACUCUGAGUGUGUGUGUGUGUGUGUGUGUAUAUGUGUGUGUAUCCUGCAGUACUCUGUACUCCUGCAGUGGCCAAAAAGACUUUUAAGAAUGUGGAUUUUUGGGUCAUCUUUGGCGCCCCCUAGAACGUAAACCGUGGGGUGCAGCGUCAUGAUUUUUACAACUUUGAAUGGGCAUGGGGUGUAGAUUGCCCUGAGCAAAUUUGGUAUCGGUGGGACGAAAGCCUUAGGAGGAGAUAGCCACAUUCCAAUGUGUGCGAAUCGGCAAAAAAUGCGAAAUAGCCCUUUAACCGUACAUUAUACAGAUACGCGCUUUUUGACUUUUUCGUAGAUCUAAUUGAGAUACACAUGAUUGUCAAUUUUUGUGUCAAUAUGACAAAGCGUUCAGGCGUGACACUCAACAAUGUGUAUUUUCAUGUAAGGGGACAAGAAAAUCUUGACUUUUUUCUCCUGCCAUGGGGGGGCGCUCUUUUGGGGAGUAAAAAUUCCUUCACACAUGUGUUGAUGGCUGGACAUAGCAUCAUCCUAGAAAACUUGGAGGCCAGUGAGGACAAAAAUAAAAAGUUAUAAGACUUUUAAGAAUGUGGAUUUUUGGGUUAUCUUUGGCGCCCCCUAGAACAUAAACCGUGGGGUGCAGCGUCAUGAUUUGUACAACUUUUAAUGGCCAUGGGGUGUAGAUUGGCCUGAGCAAAUUUGGUGCCGGUGGAACGAAAGCCUUCGGAGGAGUUAGCGAAAUUCCAAUGUGUGCGGAUCGGCAAAAAAUGCGAAAUAGCCCUUUAACCGUACAUUUGACAGAUACGCCCGCACUGACUUUUUUGUAGAACUUAUUGAGAUACACAUGUGUGUCAAAUUUUGUGUCAUUUUGACAAAGCGUACAGGCGUCAGGUGAGUUUUCACCAUAGGGGGCGCUAUGGAGCAAUUUUUCAUUUUUUUGUUUGGGCCCUUUCAGAAUAUCAAAUUUUUCACCAGGCCCGGUCGUCCUGCCAAAUUUCCAGAGUUUUCGCCAGUGGGAAGUGGGCCAUUUUCCAGUUUAAAGCGGAGGAAAAAUAACGAAAGAAGAAUCCAUCAGGAACAAGAGGGCUCUCGCAGCUGCUUAGCAGCUACGCUCGGGCCCUAACUAGGGCCCCGUUGGGGCACUGUCGGGCCCGAGCCGCGUCGCGCCGCCCCAAGCGCGACCGCCUCCCCGUCCCAUUCGUGCCCUCUGGCCAUCGCCCUCUCUGGUAACGCCCAUCACUGCAAAGACCCUUUUCCUUCAUCGGUGUUUGCUGUUCUUCCUGCCAUUGUGUGUUGCUUUCACUUACACUUGCCACAGCCAGCCUCGUGAGUGCCUGGCCUGGUUUGACCUUUGCUCACCAUGAUUGUGUGACCUUGGUAUCAGCUACUUGGGAAGUUCAACCGUUGUGGCAAAGCUUUGUUUGCGUGCUGUGCUCAACCACCUAUUUUCUAUGGAUGUGUAAGUAAACCACUUUCUUUCUUACACAAUGACACACUCAUACUUAUCACUCACUGCUACUGAUGUGCUCUGUUAGUAUGCAUGCAGGAAACCUGAUGAAUGAAGAAAUGCCCAGACUAGCCAACAUCUCAAUAAAUUAUGAGGUAUGACAUCACUUGAAUGGUUUCCUUGGACUAUGCUUCCAUUAUUCUAAUUCUGUAAUAAAAAGAAAUUUUGUCCAAAAGGACUGUUGUUGUUUUUUCUUCUAAUAAUUAACAUAUUUAACAUAAUUAACAUUCAAUAUGCGCUCAUUACACACGUGCACACUCUUUGAUGAUCUGAGAAGCAGAGCUUAAAGGACAGUAGGAGUAGCUGAACAAAGUGUAUUUGUAGGAAAGUUGUAAGAGCUAUUGAAACGCCGUUUUCGCGGGUUGAAAGGUUAGGGUGUCCACCAAAGGUCAGAGGUCAAAUAACAUUUGUAUCUCAAACUGUGACGUCAAAGUCAAGGUCCAAAGAUGGUGUGCGCACCUGUCUUUGGUCAUUUCCCAUUAUAAUGAAUGGGAGGCACAGUUUCUACCAAAACGCUCGCUGCAGACAAACUACAUGUCCUAUUUGAAAAAACUCUGGACCAUGAGUGAGGGCACAAACACAGCUAGGACAUAUCCAAAUGGCAAGUUGCUCCUCCUUUUGGUUUUAGCGGGAGAGCAAUGCGUUUGAGCCAUUAAGCGAUGGGCUGGAAAAACUUGACUUUUUCUCCUGCCAUGGGGGGGGGGGGGGCGCUCUUUUGGGGAGAAAAAUUCCUUCACAGAUGUGUUGAUGGCUGCACAUUGCAUCAUCCUAGAAAACUUGGAGGCCAGUGAGGACAAAAACAAAAAGUUAUAAGACUUUUAAAAAUGUGGAUAUUUGGGUCAUCUUUGGCGCCCCCUAGAACCUAAACCGUGGGGUGCAGCGUCAUGAUUUGUACAACUUUGAAUGGCCAUGGGGUGUAGAUUGGCCUGAGCAAAUUUGGUGUCAGUAGAACGAAAGCCUUAGGAGGAGUUAGCCACAUUCUAAUGUGUGCGAAUCGGCAAAAAAUGCAAGAUAGCCCUUUAACCGUACAUUUUACAGAUAUGUGCCCAUUGACUUUUUCGUAGAUCUUAUUGAGAUACACGUGUGUGUCAAAUUUUGUGUCAAUAUGACAAAGCGUAUAGGCGUGACACUGAACAAUGUGUAUUUUCACCUUAGGGGACAAGAAAAAAUGGCCUUUUUUGUCCUGCCAUGGGGGGGGCGCUGUUUUGGGGAGUAAAAAUUCCUUCACAAAUGUGUUGAUGGCUGGACAUUGCAUCAUCCUAGAAAACUUGGAGGCCAAUGAGGACAAAAAUAAAAAGUUAUAAGAUUUUUAAGAAUGUGGAUUUGUGGGUCAUCUUUGGCGCCCCCUAGAACGUAAACCGUGGGGUGCAGCGUCAUGAUUUGUACAACUUUUAAUGGCCAUGGGGUGUAGAUUGGCCUGAGCAAAUGUGGUGCCGGUGGAACGAAUGCCUUCGGAGGAGUUAGCGAAAUUCCAAUGUGUGCAGAUCUGCAAAAAAUGCGAAAUAACCCUCUAACCGUACAUUUCACAGAUGCGCCCGCACUGACUUUUUCGUAGAUCUUAUUGAGAUACACAUGUGUGUCAAAUUUUGUGUCAUUUUGACAAAGCGUACAGGCGUCAGGUGAGUUUUCACCAUAGGGGGCGCUAUGGAGCCAUUUUUCAUUUUUUUGUUUGGGCGACUUCAGAAUAUCGAAUUUUUCACCAGGCCCGGUCGUCCUGCCAAAUUUCAUGAGUUUUCGCCAGUGGGAAGUGGGCCAUUUUCCAGUUUAAAGCGGAGGAAAAAUAAUAACUAGGGCCCCGUUGGGGCACUGUCGGGCCCGAGCCGCGUCGCGCCGCCCCCAGCGCGACCGCCUCCCCGUCCCAUUCGUGCCCUCUGGCCAUCGCCCUCUCUGGUGACGCCCAUCACUGCAAAGACCCUUUUCCUUCAUCGGUGUUUGCUGUUCUUCCUGCCAUUGUGUGUUGCUUUCACUUACACUUGCCACAGCCAGCCUCGUGAGUGCCUGGCCUGGUUUGACCUUUGCUCACCAUGAUUGUGUGACCUUGGUAUCAGCUACUUGGGAAGUUCAACCGUUGUGGCAAAGCUUUGUUUGCGUGCUGUGCUCAACCACCUAUUUUCUAUGGAUGUGUAAGUAAACCACUUUCUUUCUUACACAAUGACACACUCAUACUUAUCACUCACUGCUACUGAUGUGCUCUGUUAGUAUGCAUGCAGGAAACCUGAUGAAUGAAGAAAUGCCCAGACUAGCCAACAUCUCAAUAAAUUAUGAGGUAUGACAUCACUUGAAUGGUUUCCUUGGACUAUGCUUCCAUUAUUCUAAUUCUGUAAUAAAAAGAAAUUUUGUCCAAAAGGACUGUUGUUGUUUUUUCUUCUAAUAAUUAACAUAUUUAACAUAAUUAACAUUCAAUAUGCGCUCAUUACACACGUGCACACUCUUUGAUGAUCUGAGAAGCAGAGCUUAAAGGACAGUAGGAGUAGCUGAACAAAGUGUAUUUGUAGGAAAGCCGUAAGAGCUAUUGAAACGCCGUUUUCGCGGGUUGAAAGGUUAGGGUGUCCACCAAAGGUCAGAGGUCAAAUAACAUUUGUAUCUCAAACUGUGACGUCAAAGUCAAGGUCCAAAGAUGGUGUGCGCACCUGUCUUUGGUCAUUUCCCAUUAUAAUGAAUGGGAGGCACAGUUUCUACCAAAACGCUCGCUGCAGACAAACUACAUGUCCUAUUUGAAAAAACUCUGGACCAUGAGUGAGGGCACAAACACAGCUAGGACAUAUCCAAAUGGCAAGUUGCUCCUCCUUUUGGUUUUAGCGGGAGAGCAAUGCGUUUGAGCCAUUAAGCGAUGGGCUGGAAAAACUUGACUUUUUCUCCUGCCAUUGGGGGGGGCGCUCUUUUGGGGAGAAAAAAUUCCUUCACAGAUGUGUUGAUGGCUGCACAUUGCAUCAUCCUAGAAAACUUGGAGGCCAGUGAGGACAAAAUUAAAAGUUAUAAGACUUUUAAAAAUGUGGAUAUUUGGGUCAUCUUUGGCGCCCCCUAGAACCUAAACCGUGGGGUGCAGCGUCAUGAUUUGUACAACUUUGAAUGGCCAUGGGGUGUAGAUUGGCCUGAGCAAAUUUGGUGUCAGUAGAACGAAAGCCUUAGGAGGAGUUAGCCACAUUCUAAUGUGUGCGAAUCGGCAAAAAAUGCAAGAUAGCCCUUUAACCGUACAUUUUACAGAUAUGUGCCCAUUGACUUUUUCGUAGAUCUUAUUGAGAUACACGUGUGUGUCAAAUUUUGUGUCAAUAUGACAAAGCGUAUAGGCGUGACACUGAACAAUGUGUAUUUUCACCUUAGGGGACAAGAAAAAAUGGCCUUUUUUGUCCUGCCAUGGGGGGGGGGGCGCUGUUUUGGGGAGUAAAAAUUCCUUCACAAAUGUGUUGAUGGCUGGACAUUGCAUCAUCCUAGAAAACUUGGAGGCCAAUGAGGACAAAAAUAAAAAGUUAUAAGAUUUUUAAGAAUGUGGAUUUGUGGGUUAUCUUUGGCGCCCCCUAGAACGUAAACCGUGGGGUGCAGCGUCAUGAUUUGUACAACUUUUAAUGGCCAUGGGGUGUAGAUUGGCCUGAGCAAAUGUGGUGCCGGUGGAACGAAUGCCUUCGGAGGAGUUAGCGAAAUUCCAAUGUGUGCAGAUCUGCAAAAAAUGCGAAAUAACCCUCUAACCGUACAUUUCACAGAUGCGCCCGCACUGACUUUUUCGUAGAUCUUAUUGAGAUACACAUGUGUGUCAAAUUUUGUGUCAUUUUGACAAAGCGUACAGGCGUCAGGUGAGUUUUCACCAUAGGGGGCGCUAUGGAGCCAUUUUUCAUUUUUUUGUUUGGGCGACUUCAGAAUAUCGAAUUUUUCACCAGGCCCGGUCGUCCUGCCAAAUUUCCUGAGUUUUCGCCAGUGGGAAGUGGGCCAUUUUCCAGUUUAAAGCGGAGGAAAAAUAACGAAAGAAGAAUCCAUCAGGAACAAGAGGGCUCUCGCAGCUGCUUAGCAGCUACGCUCGGGCCCUAACAAACUAGGGCCCCGUUGGGGCACUGGCGGGCAUGAGCCGCGUUGCGCCGCCCCCAGUGCGACCGCCUCCCCCUCCCGAUCGCGUCACACUCAAGGUCCAAAGAUGGUGUGCGCACUUGUCUGUGGUCAUUUCCCAUUAUAAUGAAUGGGAGGCGCAGUUUCUACCAAAACACUCGCUGCAGACAAACUACAUGUCCUAUUUGAAAAAAGUCUGGACCAUGAGUGAGGGCACAAACACUGCUAGGAUAUAUCCAAACGGCAAGUUGCUCCUCGUUACGGUGUUGCCGGGAGAGCGAUGCGAUUGAGCCAUUGAGUGAUGGGCAGGAAAAACUUGACUGUUUCUCCUGCCAUGGGGGAUGGGGGAUGGGGGGGGGGGGGGGGGAUGUGGAUUCUUUUAAGAAUGUGGAUAUUUGGGUCAUCUUUGGCGCCCCCUAGAACGUAAACCGUGGGGUGAAGCGUCAUGAUUUUUAAAACUUUGAAUGGCCAUGGGGUGUAGAUUGGCCUGAGCAAAUUUGGUGUCAGUGGGACGAAAGCCUUAGGAGGUGUUAGCCACAUUCCAAUGUGUGCUAAUCGGCAAAAAAUGCAAAAUAGCCCUUUAACCGUACAUUUUACAGAUACGCGCGCAUUGACUUUUUCGUAGAUCUUAUUGAGAUACAUGUGUGUGUCAAAUUUUGUGUCAAUAUGACAAAGCAUACAGGUAUGACAGUCAACAAUGUGUAUUUUCACCUUAUGGGACAAGAAAAAAUGGACUUUUUUCUCCUGCCAUGGGGGGGCGCUCUUUUGGGGAGUAAAAAUUCCUUCACAAAUGUGUUGAUGGCUGCACAUUGCAUCAUCCUAGAAAACUUGGAGGCCAGUGAGGACAAAAAUAAAAAGUUAUAAGACUUUUAAAAAUGUGGAUAUUUGGGUCAUCUUUGGCGCCCCCUAGAACCUAAACCGUGGGGUGCAGCGUCAUGAUUUGUACAACUUUGAAUGGCCAUGGGGUGUAGAUUGGCCUGAGCAAAUUUGGUGUCAGUAGAACGAAAGCCUUAGGAGGAGUUAGCCACAUUCUAAUGUGUGCGAAUCGGCAAAAAAUGCAAGAUAGCCCUUUAACCGUACAUUUUACAGAUAUGUGCCCAUUGACUUUUUCGUAGAUCUUAUUGAGAUACACGUGUGUGUCAAAUUUUGUGUCAAUAUGACAAAGCGUAUAGGCGUGACACUGAACAAUGUGUAUUUUCACCUUAGGGGACAAGAAAAAAUGGCCUUUUUUGUCCUGCCAUGGGGGGGGGGCGCUGUUUUGGGGAGUAAAAAUUCCUUCACAAAUGUGUUGAUGGCUGGACAUUGCAUCAUCCUAGAAAACUUGGAGGCCAAUGAGGACAAAAAUAAAAAGUUAUAAGAUUUUUAAGAAUGUGGAUUUGUGGGUUAUCUUUGGCGCCCCCUAGAACGUAAACCGUGGGGUGCAGCGUCAUGAUUUGUACAACUUUUAAUGGCCAUGGGGUGUAGAUUGGCCUGAGCAAAUGUGGUGCCGGUGGAACGAAUGCCUUCGGAGGAGUUAGCGAAAUUCCAAUGUGUGCAGAUCUGCAAAAAAUGCGAAAUAACCCUCUAACCGUACAUUUCACAGAUGCGCCCGCACUGACUUUUUCGUAGAUCUUAUUGAGAUACACAUGUGUGUCAAAUUUUGUGUCAUUUUGACAAAGCGUACAGGCGUCAGGUGAGUUUUCACCAUAGGGGGCGCUAUGGAGCCAUUUUUCAUUUUUUUGUUUGGGCGACUUCAGAAUAUCGAAUUUUUCACCAGGCCCGGUCGUCCUGCCAAAUUUCCUGAGUUUUCGCCAGUGGGAAGUGGGCCAUUUUCCAGUUUAAAGCGGAGGAAAAAUAACGAAAGAAGAAUCCAUCAGGAACAAGAGGGCUCUCGCAGCUGCUUAGCAGCUACGCUCGGGCCCUAACAAACUAGGGCCCCGUUGGGGCACUGGCGGGCAUGAGCCGCGUUGCGCCGCCCCCAGUGCGACCGCCUCCCCCUCCCGAUCGCGUCACACUCAAGGUCCAAAGAUGGUGUGCGCACUUGUCUGUGGUCAUUUCCCAUUAUAAUGAAUGGGAGGCGCAGUUUCUACCAAAACACUCGCUGCAGACAAACUACAUGUCCUAUUUGAAAAAAGUCUGGACCAUGAGUGAGGGCACAAACACUGCUAGGAUAUAUCCAAACGGCAAGUUGCUCCUCGUUACGGUGUUGCCGGGAGAGCGAUGCGAUUGAGCCAUUGAGUGAUGGGCAGGAAAAACUUGACUGUUUCUCCUGCCAUGGGGGAUGGGGGAUGGGGGGGGGGGGGGGGGGGGAUGUGGAUUCUUUUAAGAAUGUGGAUAUUUGGGUCAUCUUUGGCGCCCCCUAGAACGUAAACCGUGGGGUGAAGCGUCAUGAUUUUUAAAACUUUGAAUGGCCAUGGGGUGUAGAUUGGCCUGAGCAAAUUUGGUGUCAGUGGGACGAAAGCCUUAGGAGGUGUUAGCCACAUUCCAAUGUGUGCUAAUCGGCAAAAAAUGCAAAAUAGCCCUUUAACCGUACAUUUUACAGAUACGCGCGCAUUGACUUUUUCGUAGAUCUUAUUGAGAUACAUGUGUGUGUCAAAUUUUGUGUCAAUAUGACAAAGCAUACAGGUAUGACAGUCAACAAUGUGUAUUUUCACCUUAUGGGACAAGAAAAAAUGGACUUUUUUCUCCUGCCAUGGGGGGGCGCUCUUUUGGGGAGUAAAAAUUCCUUCACAAAUGUGUUGAUGGCUGGACAUUGCAUCAUCCUAGAAAACUUGGAGGCCAGAGAGGACAAAAAUAAAAAGUUAUAAGACUUUUAAAUAUGUGGAUUUUAGGGUUAUCUUUGGCGCCCCCUAGAACCUAAACCGUGGGGUGCAGCGUCAUGAUUUGAAUAACUUUUAAUGGCCAUGGGGUGUAGAUUGGCCUGAGCAAAUGUGGUGCCGGUGGAACGAAAGCCUUCGGAGGAGUUAGCGAAAUUCCAAUGUGUGCGGAUCGCCAAAAAAUGCGCAAUAACCCUUUAACCGUACAUUUGACAGAUACGCCAGCACUGACUUUUUUGUAGAUCUUAUUGAGAUACAUGUGUGUGUCAAUUUUUGUGUAAUUUUGACAAAGCGUACAGGCGUGACAGUCAAUAGUGUGAAUUUUCACCUUAUGGGACAAGAAAAAAUGGACUUUUUUCUCCUGCCAUGGGGGGGCGCUCUUUUGGGGAGUAAAAAUUCCUUCACAAAUGAGUUGAUGGCUGGACAUUGCAUCAUCCUAGAGAACUUGGAGGCCAGUGAGGGCAAAAAUAAAAAGUUAUAAGACUUUGAAAUAUGUGGAUUUUAGGGUUAUCUUUGGCGCCCCCUAGAACCUAAACCGUGGGGUGCAGUGUCAUGAUUUGAAUAACUUUUAAUGGCCAUGGGGUGUAGAUUGGCCUGAGCAAAUGUGGUGCCGGUGGAACGAAAGCCUUCGGAGGAGUUAGCGAAAUUCCAAUGUGUGCGGAUCGGCAAAAAAUGCGAAAUAACCCUUUAACCGUACAUUUGACAGAUACGCCCGCACUGACUUUUUUGUAGAUCUUAUUGAGAUACAUGUGUGUGUCAAUUUUUGUGUCAUUUUGACAAAGCGUACAGGCGUCAGGUGAAUUUUUCACCUUAGGGGGCGCUAUGGAGCCAUUUUGCAUUGUAUUGUUUGGGCGACUUCAGAAUAUCAAAUUUUUCACCAGGCCCGGUCGUCCUGCCAAAUUUCAUGAGUUUUCGCCAGUGGGAAGUGGGCCAUUUUCCAGUUCAAAGGGGAGGAAAAAGAAAAAAGAAACAAAGAACUAGGGCCCCGUUGGGGCACUGGCGGGCCCGAGCCGUGUCGCGCCCCCUCCCCAACGCGAUCGCCUCCCCGUCCCAUUCUCUUCCUCUGGCCAUCGCCCUCUCUGGAAACGCCCAUCACUACAAAGACCCUUAUACUUCAUCGGCGUUUGUGGUUCUUCCCGCCAGUGUGUGUCCAACGCUUUUGCGCGUUGAAAGGUUAGGGUCUCCACUAAAGGUCAGAGGUCAAAUAACAUUUGUAUCUCAAACUGUGACGUCACAGUCAGGGUCCAAAGAUGGUGUGCGCAACUGUCUUUGGUCAUUUCCCAUUAUAAUGAAUGGGAGGCACAGUCUCUACCAAAACGCUCGCUGCAGAAAAACUACGUGUCCUUUUUGAAAAAAGUCUGGACCAUGAGUGAGGGCACAAACACAGCUAGUAUAUAUCCAAAUGGCAAGUUGCUCCUCCUUUCGGUUUUGCCGAGAGAGCGAUGCGUUUGAGCCAUUGAGCGAUGGGCAGGAAAAACUUGACUUUUUCUCCUGCCAUGGGGGGGCGCUCUUUUGGGGAGAAAAAAUUCCUUCACAAAUGUGUUGAUGGCUGCACAUUGCAUCAUCCUAGAAAACUUGGAGGCCAGUGAGGACAAAAAUAAAAAGUUAUAAGACUUUUAAGAAUGUGGAUUUUUGGGUCAUCUUUGGCGCCCCCUAGAACUGCAGUACUCUGUACUCCUGCAGUGGCCAAAAUGACUUUUAAGAAUGUGGAUUUUUGGGUCAUCUUUGGCGCCCCCUAGAACGUAAACCGUGGGGUGCAGCGUCAUGAUUUGUACAACUUUGAAUGGCCAUGGGGUGUAGAUUGACCUGAGCAAAUUUGAAGCCGAUGGGACAAAAGAUUUAGGAGGAGUUAGCCACAUUCCAAUGUGUGCGAAUCGGCAAAAAAUGCGAAAUAGCCCUUUAACCGUACAUUGAACAGAUACGCUCGCAUUGACUUUUUCGUAGAUCUUAUUGAGAUACAUGUGUGUGUCAAAUUUUGUGUCAUUUUGACAAAGCGUAAAGGCGUGACAGUCAACAAUGGUUAUUUUCGCCUUAGGAGACAAGAAAAAAUGGACUUUUUUCUCCUGCCAUGGAGGGGGGCGCUCUUUUGGCGAGUAAAAAUUCCUUCACAAAUGUGUUGAUGGCUGGACAUUGCAUCAUCCUAGAGAACUUGGAGGCCAGUGAGGACAAAAAUAAAAAGUUAUAAGACUUUUAAGACUGUGGAUUUUUGGGUUAUCUUUGGCGCCCCCUAGAACGUAAACCGUGGGGUGCAGCGUCAUGAUUUGUACAACUUUUAAUGGCCAUGGGGUGUAGAUUGGCCUGAGCAAAUGUGGUGCCUUUGGAACGAAAGCCUUCGGAGGAGUUAGCGAAAUUCCAAUGUGUGCGGAUCGGCAAAAAAUGCGAAAUAGCCCUUUAACCGUACAUUUGACAGAUACGCCCGCACUGACUUUUUUGUAGAUCUUAUUGAGAUACAUGUGUGUGUCAAUUUUUGUGUCAAUAUGACAAAGCGUAAAGGCGUGACAGUCAAUAGUGUGAAUUUUCGCCUUAGGAGACAAGAAAAAAUGGACUUUUUUCUCCUGCCAUGGGGGGGCGCUCUUUUGGCGAGUAAAAAUUCCUUCACAAAUGUGUUGAUGGCUGGACAUUGCAUCAUCCUAGAGAACUUGGAGGCCAGUGAGGACAAAAAUAAAAAGUUAUAAGACUUUUAAAUAUGUGGAUUUUAGGGUUAUCUUUGGCGCCCCCUAGAACCUAAACCGUGGGGUGCAGCGUCAUGAUUUGAAUAACUUUUAAUGGCCAUGGGGUGUAGAUUGGCCUGAGCAAAUGUGGUGCCGGAGGAACGAAAGCCUUAGGAGGAGUUAGCCACAUUCCAAUGUGUGCGGAUCGGCAAAAAAUGCGGAAUAACCCUUUAACCGUACAUUUGACAGAUACACGCGCAUUGACUUUUUCGUAGAUCUUAUUGAGUUACAUGUGUGUGUCAAUUUUUGUGUCAUUUUGACAAAGCGUAUAGGCGUGACACUCAACAAUGUGUAUUUUCACCUUAGGGGACAAGAAAAAAUGGACUUUUUUCUUCUGCCAUGGGGGGGCGCUCUUUUGGGGAGUAAAAAUUCCUUCACAAAUGUGUUGAUGGCUGGACAUUGCAUCAUCCUAGAAAACUUGGAGGCCAGUGAGGACAAAAAUAAAAAGUUAUAAGACUUUUAAAUAUGUGGAUUUUAGGGUUAUCUUUGGCGCCCCCUAGAACCUAAACCUUGGGGUGCAGCGUCAUGAUUUUGAUAACUUUUAAUGGCCACGGGGUGUAGAUUGGCCUGAGCAAAUGUGGUGCCGGUGGAACGAAAGCCUUCGGAGGAGUUAGCGAAAUUCCAAUGUGUGCGGAUCGGCAAAAAAUGCGAAAUAACCCUUUAACCGUAAUUUUGACAAAUACGGCCGCACUGACUUUUUUGUAGAUCUUAUUAAGAUACAUAUGUGUGUCAAUUUUUGUGUCAAUAUGACAAAGCGUACAGGCGUGACAGUCAAUAGUGUGAAUUUCCACCUUAGGGGGCGCUAUGGAGCCAUUUUGCAUUUUAUUGUUUGGGCGACUUCAGAAUAUCGAAUUUUUCACCAGGCCCGGUCGUCCUGCCAAAUUUCAUGAGUUUUCGCCAGUGGGAAGUGGGCCAUUUUCCAGUUCAAAGGGGAGGAAAAAUAAUAACUAGGGCCCCGUUGGGGCACUGGCGGGCCCGAGCCGUGUCACGCCGCCCCCAGCGCGACCGCCUCCCCCACCCGAUCGCGUCACACUCAAGGUCCAAAGAUGGUGUGCGCACUUGUUUGUGGUCAUUUACCAUUAUAAUGAACGGGAGGCGCAGUUUCUACCAAAACGCUCGCUGCAGAAAAACUCCAUGUCCUAUUUGAAAAAAGUCUGGACCAUGAGUGAGGGCACAAACACAGCUAAGAUAUAUCCAAAUGGCAAGUUGCUCCUCCUUUCGCUUUUGCCGAGAGAGCAGUGCGUUUGAGCCAUUGAAUGAUGAACAGGAAAAACUUGACUUUAUUCUCCUGCCAUGGGGGGCGCUCUUUUAACGAGAAAAAACUCCUUCACAAAUGUGUUGAUGGCUGGACAUUGCAUCAUCCUAGAAAACAUGGAGGCCAGUGAGGACAAAAAUAAAAAGUUAUAAGACUUUUAAAUAUGUGGAUUUUACGGUUAUCUUUGGCGCCCCCUAGAACCUAAACCGUGGGGUGCAGCGUCAUGAUUUGAAUAACUUUUAAUGGCCAUGGGGUGUAGAUUGGCCUGAGCAAAUGUGGUGCCGGUGGAACGAAAGCCUUCGGAGGAGUUAGCGAAAUUCCAAUGUGUGCGAAUCUGCAAAAAAUGCGAAAUAACCCUUUAACCGUACAUUUGACAGAUACGUGGCCAUUGACUUUUUCGAAGAUCUUAUUGAAAUACACGUGUGUGUAAAAUUUUGUGUCAAUACGACAAAACAUACAGGCGUAGCACUCAACAAUGUGUAUUUUCACCUUAGUGGACAAGAAAAAAUGGACUUUUUUCUCCUGCCAUGGGGGGGCGCUCUUUUGGCGAGUAAAAAUUCCUUCACAAAUGUGUUGAUGGCUGGACAUUGCAUCAUCCUAGAAAACUUGGAGGCCAGUGGGGACAAAAAUAAAAAGUUAUAAGACUUUUAAAUAUGUGGAUUUUACGGUUAUCUUUGGCGCCCCCUAGAACCUAAACCGUGGGGUGCAGCGUCAUGAUUUGAAUAACUUUUAAUGGCCAUGGGGUGUAGAUUGGCCUGAGCAAAUGUGGUGCCGGUGGAACGAAAGCCUUCGGAGGAGUUAGCGAAAUUCCAAUGUGUGCGGAUCGGCAAAAAAUGCGGAAUAACCCUUUAACUGUACAUUUGACAGAUACGCGCGCGUUGACUUUUUCGUAGAUCUUAUUGAGAUACAUGUGUGUGUCAAUUUUUGUGUCAUUUUGCCAAAGCGUACAGGUGUUACACUCAACAAUGUGUAUUUUCACCUUAGGGGACAAGAAAAAAUGGACUUUUUUCUCCUGCCAUGGGGGGGCGCUCUUUUGGGGAGUAAAAAUUUCUUCACAAAUGUGUUGAUGGCUGGACAUUGCAUCAUCCUAGAAAACUUGGAGGCCAGUGAGGGCAAAAAUAAAAAGUUAUAAGACUUUUAAAUAUGUGGAUCUUAGGGUUAUCUUUGGCGCCCCCUAGAACCUAAACCGUGGGGUGCAGCGUCAUGAUUUGAAUAACUUUUAAUGGCCAUGGGGUGUAGAUUGGCCUGAGCAAAUGUGGUGCCGGUGGAACGAAAGCCUUCGGAGGAGUUAGCGAAAUUCCAAUGUGUGCGGAUCGGCAAAAAAUGCGAAAUAACCCUUUAACCGUACAUUUGACAGAUACGCCCGCACUGACUUUUUUGUAGAUCUUAUUGAGAUACAUGUGUGUGUCAAUUUUUGUGUCAUUUUGACAAAGCGUACAGCCGUCAUGUGAAUUUUCACCUUAGGGGGCGCUAUGGAGCCAUUUUGCAUUUUAUUGUUUGGGCGACUUCGGAAUAUCAAAUUUUUCACCAGGCCCGGUCGUCCUGCCAAAUUUCAUGAGUUUUCGCCAGUGGGAAGUGGGCCAUUUUCCAGUUCAAAGGGGAGGAAAAAGAAACUAGGGCCCCGUUGGGGCACUGGCGGGCCCGAGCCGUGUCACGCCGCCCCCAGCGCGACCGCCUCCCCCACCCGAUCGCGUCACACUCAAGGUCCAAAGAUGGUGUGCGCACUUGUUUGUGGUCAUUUACCAUUAUAAUGAACGGGAGGCGCAGUUUCUACCAAAACGCUCGCUGCAGAAAAACUCCAUGUCCUAUUUGAAAAAAGUCUGGACCAUGAGUGAGGGCACAAACACAGCUAAGAUAUAUCCAAAUGGCAAGUUGCUCCUCCUUUCGCUUUUGCCGAGAGAGCAGUGCGUUUGAGCCAUUGAAUGAUGAACAGGAAAAACUUGACUUUAUUCUCCUGCCAUGGGGGGGCGCUCUUUUAACGAGAAAAAACUCCUUCACAAAUGUGUUGAUGGCUGGACAUUGCAUCAUCCUAGAAAACAUGGAGGCCAGUGAGGACAAAAAUAAAAAGUUAUAAGACUUUUAAAUAUGUGGAUUUUACGGUUAUCUUUGGCGCCCCCUAGAACCUAAACCGUGGGGUGCAGCGUCAUGAUUUGAAUAACUUUUAAUGGCCAUGGGGUGUAGAUUGGCCUGAGCAAAUGUGGUGCCGGUGGAACGAAAGCCUUCGGAGGAGUUAGCGAAAUUCCAAUGUGUGCGAAUCUGCAAAAAAUGCGAAAUAACCCUUUAACCGUACAUUUGACAGAUACGUGGCCAUUGCCUUUUUCGAAGAUCUUAUUGAAAUACACGUGUGUGUAAAAUUUUGUGUCAAUACGACAAAACAUACAGGCGUAGCACUCAACAAUGUGUAUUUUCACCUUAGUGGACAAGAAAAAAUGGACUUUUUUCUCCUGCCAUGGGGGGCGCUCUUUUGGCGAGUAAAAAUUCCUUCACAAAUGUGUUGAUGGCUGGACAUUGCAUCAUCCUAGAAAACUUGGAGGCCAGUGGGGACAAAAAUAAAAAGUUAUAAGACUUUUAAAUAUGUGGAUUUUACGGUUAUCUUUGGCGCCCCCUAGAACCUAAACCGUGGGGUGCAGCGUCAUGAUUUGAAUAACUUUUAAUGGCCAUGGGGUGUAGAUUGGCCUGAGCAAAUGUGGUGCCGGUGGAACGAAAGCCUUCGGAGGAGUUAGCGAAAUUCCAAUGUGUGCGGAUCGGCAAAAAAUGCGGAAUAACCCUUUAACUGUACAUUUGACAGAUACGCGCGCAUUGACUUUUUCGUAGAUCUUAUUGAGAUACAUGUGUGUGUCAAUUUUUGUGUCAUUUUGCCAAAGCGUACAGGUGUUACACUCAACAAUGUGUAUUUUCACCUUAGGGGACAAGAAAAAAUGGACUUUUUUCUCCUGCCAUGGGGGGGCGCUCUUUUGGGGAGUAAAAAUUUCUUCACAAAUGUGUUGAUGGCUGGACAUUGCAUCAUCCUAGAAAACUUGGAGGCCAGUGAGGGCAAAAAUAAAAAGUUAUAAGACUUUUAAAUAUGUGGAUCUUAGGGUUAUCUUUGGCGCCCCCUAGAACCUAAACCGUGGGGUGCAGCGUCAUGAUUUGAAUAACUUUUAAUGGCCAUGGGGUGUAGAUUGGCCUGAGCAAAUGUGGUGCCGGUGGAACGAGAGCCUUCGGAGGAGUUAGCGAAAUUCCAAUGUGUGCGGAUCGGCAAAAAAUGCGAAAUAACCCUUUAACCGUACAUUUGACAGAUACGCCCGCACUGACUUUUUUGUAGAUCUUAUUGAGAUACAUGUGUGUGUCAAUUUUUGUGUCAUUUUGACAAAGCGUACAGGCGUGACAGUCAAUAGUGUGAAUUUUCACCUUAGGGGGCGCUAUGGAGCCAUUUUGCAUUUUCUUGUUUGGGCGACUUCGGAAUAUCAAAUUUUUCACCAGGCCCGGUCGUCCUGCCAAAUUUCAUGAGUUUUCGCCAGUGGGAAGUGGGCCAUUUUCCAGUUCAAAGGGGAGGAAAAAUAAUAAUAAUAACUAGGGCCCCGGUGGGGCACUGUCGGGCCCGAGCCGCGUCGCGCCGCCCCUAGCGCGACCGCCUCCCCCUCCCGAUCGCGUCACACUCAAGGUCCAAAGAUGGUGUGCGCACUUGUCUGUGGUCAUUUCCCAUUAUAAUGAAUGGGAGGCGCAGUUUCUACCAAAACACUCGCUGCAGACAAACUUCAUGUCCUAUUUGAAAAAAGUCUGGACCAUGAGUGAGGGCACAAACACAGCUAUGAUAUAUCGAAAUGGCAGGUUGCUCCUCCUUAUGGUGUUGCCUGGAGAGCGAUGCGAUUGAGCCAUUGAGCGAUGGGCAGGGUUAACUUGACUUUUUCUCCUGCCUUGGGGGGGGAUGUGGAUUCCUUUAAGAAUGUGGAUUUUUGGGUCAUCUUUGGCGCCCCCUAGAACGUAAACCGUGGGGUGCAGCGUCAUGAUUUUUACAACUUUGAAUGGCCAUGGGGUGUAGAUUGGCCUGAGCAAAUUUGGUGUCAGUGGGACGAAAGCCUUAGGAGGAGUUAGCCACAUUCCAAUGUGUGCGAAUCGGCAAAAAAUGCAAAAUAGCCCUUUAACCGUACAUUUGACAGAUACGCGCGCAUUGACUUUUUUGUAGAUCUUAUUGAGAUACAUAUGUGUGUCAAUUUUUGUGUCAAUAUGAUAAAGCGUACAGGCGUGACAGUCAACAAUGUGAAUUUCCACCUUAGGGGACAAGAAAAAAUUGACUUUUUUCUCCUGCCAUGGGGGGGGGCGCUCUUUUGGGGAGUAAAAAUUCCUUCACAAAUGUGUUGAUGGCUGGACAUUGCAUCAUCCUAGAAAACUUGGAGGCCAGUGAGGACAAAAAUAAAAAGUUAUAAGACUUUUAAAUAUGUGGAUUUUAGGGUUAUCUUUGGCGCCCCCUAGAACCUAAACCGUGGGGUGCAGCGUCAUGAUUUGAAUAACUUUUAAUGGCCAUGGGGUGUAGAUUGGCCUGAGCAAAUGUGGUGCCGGUGGAACGAAAGCCUUCGGAGGAGUUAGCGAAAUUCCAAUGUAUGCGGAUCGGCAAAAAAUGCGGAAUAACCCUUUCACCGUACAUUUGACAGAUACGCGCGCAUUGACUUUUUCGUAGAUCUUAUUGAGAUACAUGUGUGUGUCAAUUUUUGUGUCAUUUUGCCAAAGCGUACAGGUGUUACACUCAACAAUGUGUAUUUUCACCUUAGGGGACAAGAAAAAAUGGACUUUUUUCUCCUGCCAUGGGGGGCGCUCUUUUGGGGAGUAAAAAUUCCUUCACAAAUGUGUUGAUGGCUGGACAUUGCAUCAUCCUAGAAAACUUGGAGGCCAGUGAGGGCAAAAAUAAAAAGUUAUAAGACUUUUAAAUAUGUGGAUCUUAGGGUUAUCUUUGGCGCCCCCUAGAACCUAAACCGUGGGGUGCAGCGUCAUGAUUUGAAUAACUUUUAAUGGCCAUGGGGUGUAGAUUGGCCUGAGCAAAUGUGGUGCCGGUGGAACGAAAGCCUUAGGAGGAGUUAGCGAAAUUCCAAUGUGUGCGGAUCGGCAAAAAAUGCGAAAUAACCCUUUAACCGUACAUUUGACAGAUACGCCCGCACUGACUUUUUUGUAGAUCUUAUUGAGAUACAUGUGUGUGUCAAUUUUUGUGUCAUUUUGACAAAGCGUACAGGCGUGACAGUCAAUAGUGUGAAUUUCCACCUUAGGGGGCGCUAUGGAGCCAUUUUGCAUUUUAUUGUUUGGGCGACUUCAGAAUAUCGAAUUUUUCACCAGGCCCGGUCGUCCUGCCAAAUUUCAUGAGUUUUCGCCAGUGGGAAGUGGGCCAUUUUCCAGUUCAAAGGGGAGGAAAAAGAAGAAAGAAAGAAAGAAUAAAAAGUUAUAAGACUUUUAAAUAUGUGGAUUUUAGUGUUAUCUUUGGCGCCCCCUAGAACCUAAACCUUGGGGUGCAGCGUCAUGAUUUUGAUAACUUUUAAUGGCCACGGGGUGUAGAUUGGCCUGAGCAAAUGUGGUGCCGGUGGAACGAAAGCCUUCGGAGGAGUUAGCGAAAUUCCAAUGUGUGCGGAUCGGCAAAAAAUGCGAAAUAACCCUUUAACCGUAAUUUUGACAGAUACGGCCGCACUGACUUUUUUGUAGAUCUUAUUGAGAUACAUAUGUGUGUCAAUUUUUGUGUCAAUAUGACAAAGCGUACAGGCGUGACAGUCAAUAGUGUGAAUUUUCACCUUAGGGGGCGCUAUGGAGCCAUUUUGCAUUUUAUUGUUUGGGCGACUUCAGAAUAUCAAAUUUUUCACCAGGCCCGGUCGUCCUGCCAAAUUUCAUGAGUUUUCGCCAGUGGGAAGUGGGCCAUUUUCCAGUUCAAAGGGGAGGAAAAAGAAAAAAGAAAGAAAGAAACAAAGAAAAACCACUUGGGGAAUAAUAGGGCCUACGCCCGGCUGCUCUGCAGCUGGCUCGGGCCCUAAGAAAGAAACAAAGAAAAACCCCUACAGGAAUAACAGGGCCUACGCCCGGCUGCUCUGCAGCUGGCUCGGGCCCUAACUAGGACCCCGUUGGGGCACUGGCGGGCCCGAGCUGUGUCGCGUCCCCCCCCCAACGCGCUGCCUCCCCGUCCCAUUUGUGUCCUCUGGCCAUCGCCCUCUCUGGUAACGCCCAUCACUGCAAAGACCCUUUUCCUUCAUCUGCGUUUGCUGUUCUUCCUGCCAGUGCGUGUUGCUUUCACUUACACUUGCCACAGCCAGCCUCAUGAGUGCCUAGCCUAUUGGAUAUCACUGUCACCUACACAGGACAGUCAUUACCUUUCUAUUAAUACUUUGUUUUUUAAUUUCACAUUAAUUUCCAUAUUGUAUAAACAACUGGAAAAAACUUGAGCCCCUGCCCCUGUAUAAUCAUGUGCACGUCUCUGUUCUAGCUCUAAGGUGAAUCUUCACUGCUCAUGUUCUCCUCAGAAGCAGUCACCUCACUCCCCUCAGGUUACUGUACACAUGCACCAACUGCCUGCUUCAGGUUUGGAUGGAGCUUCAUGGUUGUCUUUUGGAGAAAUGACCAGUCAAGUUGUGUUUGAAAUUUGAUUUUUUUCAGGGGCAAAAGGAGCCUCUGCAUUCUUGUCAAAUAUGUAAAUAGCAUGUUUUUGCAGGUGCUAAAAACCAGACUCUGAGUGUAUGUGUGUGCGUGUGUGUGUGUCUGUGUGUGUGUGUGUGUGUGCGUUCAAGUCACAUGACAUAUUUAACCGGAUGUAGCUGCAAGACGGAGCCUCGUUGACUCUCCGUUUCAACUUAUCUCAAAAGUGAGGACCUCAACCUAUAUACCAGUUUUUAAAUUGUGUUGAUAGGCCAAAUAAAACCAGAGUUAUGAUAAAUUAUGUCCGCGAUACUUUUUUUCUGCUUAUUUUGAUCACGUUCGGCGCUCGAUCGCGCUGUAUGAGACAGGAAAACAUAGCAUGCAGACAUUAGCGACAGGUCUUACAGGCGGAAAAGGCUUGCCAAAAGAAAAAAAAAACACACCACAACAUCUCUCCUAUUGGUGGAAAACUUCACCACAACAACCAAUCCAAAAUUAUAUGGUGACUGAUUGACAAGGGGCGGGCGCUUACGUUCUUCCUGCAACAUGAGAAGGGAGGGAGGGACUCUCAGCAGGGAUGCAGUCUGGGACACGUAGUUGCAAACCUAGCGACUUUGUUGUUAGAUUCAAUGACUUUUCAGACCCCCUAACGACUUUUUUUUAGAAAGAAAGGGACUUUUAUCGACUUCUUCUGGAGUUUAGAGACUCUGACAUGAAGCAGGCUUUCCUUACUGAGGAGUUAGCAACGCUGCUAAGGGUGCAGAGCCACACAUGCGCUCAGAGCUCUGCAUGGGAGACUGAAGCUGACAGAGCUGCAGCAGUUAGCAGGUUUCACCCUCAGAGACCACCAGGGGUUCAUGUUGAGGCAUUUUAAUUUUUUUUUUUUUUUUUGUGCCAUAGACACUGUCAGCACAAUCUGCAGUUACACUAACAAAAAUGCUGCAAAAAACAAAGAAUUAUGGAAAAAUUACACAUGGACUGACAUAGAGGAGGAUCUACACAAGUUUUUUACAUCAUGUUUUACAUCAUGCAUCAUUUACAUCAUGUUUUUUUGUAGUGGCAUAAAUAAAAAGUGACAUUUGUGAGACUAUACAGUGUUUUGUAAAUAAUUUUACAAAGAACGCCUGGGCCAUUGCCUGCAUUUUGAUGUAAAUAGAGGUAAAUCACUAUGUUCUUUGUUAAAAAUUUGCAUAUGUUUUGAAGUUUACAAUUUUUAUUUGAAGUUUAAGUUUUAAAAACAGUUCAUCACACAUAUUUGUGGUUUAAUUUCACAUUAAUUUCCAUAUUGUAUAAAUGACUGGAAAAAACUUGAGCCCCUGCCCCUGUAUAAUCAUGUGCACGUCCCUGUUGUAGCUCCAAGGUGAAUCUUCACUGCUCAUGUUCUCCUCAGAAAUAGUCACCUCACUCCCCUCAGGUUACUGUACACAUGCACCAACUAUCUGCUUCAGGUUUGAAAUGGAGCUUCAUGGUUGUCUUUUGGAGAAAUGAACAGUCAAGUUGUGUUUGAAAUUUGAUUUUUUUCAGGGGCAAAAGGAAGCCUCUGCAUUCUUGUCAAAUAUGUAAACAGCAUGUUUUUGCAGGUGCUAAAAAACAGACUCUGAGUGUGUGUGUGUGUCUGUGUGUGUGUGUGUGUGGGUGUGUGUGUGUGUGUGUAUGUUGGCGUGUGUGUAUAUGUGUGUGUAUCCUGCAGUACUCUGUACUCCUGCAGUGGCCAAAAAGACUUUUAAGAAUGUGGAUUUUUGGGUCAUCUUUGGCGCCCCCUAGAACGUAAACCGUGGGGUGCAGCGUCAUGAUUUUUACAACUUUGAAUGGGCAUGGGGUGUAGAUUGCCCUGAGCAAAUUUGGUAUCGGUGGGACGAAAGCCUUAGGAGGAGAUAGCCACAUUCCAAUGUGUGCGAAUCGGCAAAAAAAUGCAAAAUAGCCCUUUAACCGUACAUUAUACAGAUACGCGCUCUUUGACUUUUUCGUAGAUCUAAUUGAGAUACACAUGAUUGUCAAUUUUUGUGUCAAUAUGACAAAGCGUUCAGGCGUGACACUCAACAAUGUGUAUUUUUAUGUAAGGGGACAAGAAAAAAUUGACUUUUUUCUCCUACCAUGGGGGGCGCUCUUUUGGGGAGUAAAAAUUCCUUCACAAAUGUGUUGAUGGCUGGACAUUGCAUCAUCCUAGAAAACUUGGAGGCCAGUGAGGACAAAAAUAAAAAGUUAUAAAACAUUUAAGAAUGUGGAUUUUUGGGUUAUUUUUGGCGCCCCCUAGAACCUAAACCAUGGGGUGCAGCAUCAUGAUUUGAAUAACUUUUAAUGGCCAUGGGGUGUAGAUUGGCCUGAGCAAAUGUGGUGCCGGUGGACAGAAAGCCUUCGGAGGAGUUAGCGAAAUUCCAAUGUGUGCGUAUCGGCAAAAAAUGCGGAAUAACCCUUUAACUAUACAUUUGACAGAUACGCGCGCAUGGACUUUUUUGUAGAUCUUAUUGAGUUACAUGUGUGUGUCAAUUUUUGUGUCAUUUUGACAAAGCGUAUAGGCGUGACACUCAACAAUGUGUAUUUUCGCCUUAGGGGACAAGAAAAAAUGGACUUUUUUCUCCUGCCAUGGGGGGGCGCUCUUUUGGGGAGUAAAAAUUCCUUCACAAAUGUGUUGAUGGCUGGACAUUGCAUCAUCCUAGAAAACUUGGAGGCCAGUGAGGACAAAAAUAAAAAGUUAUAAGACUUUUAAAUAUGUGGAUUUUAGUGUUAUCUUUGGCGCCCCCUAGAACCUAAACCUUGGGGUGCAGCGUCAUGAUUUUGAUAACUUUUAAUGGCCACGGGGUGUAGAUUGGCCUGAGCAAAUGUGGUGCCGGUGGAACGAAAGCCUUCGGAGGAGUUAGCGAAAUUCCAAUGUGUGCGGAUCGGAAAAAAAUGCGAAAUAACCCUUUAACCGUACAUUUGACAGAUACGGCCGCACUGACUUUUUCGUAGAUCUUAUUGAGAUACAUAUGUGUGUCAAUUUUUGUGUCAAUAUGACAAAGCGUACAGGCGUGACAGUCAAUAGUGUGAAUUUCCACCUUAGGGGGCGCUAUGGAGCCAUUUUGCAUUUUAUUGUUUGGGCGACUUCAGAAUAUCGAAUUUUUCACCAGGCCCGGUCAUCCUGCCAAAUUUCAUGAGUUUUCGCCAGUGGGAAGUGGGCCAUUUUCCAGUUCAAAGGGGAGGAAAAAGAAGAAAGAAAGAAACAAAGACUAGGACCCCGUUGGGGCACUGUCGGGCCCGAGCCGUGUCGCGUCCCCCCCCCCCCCCCAACGUGCUGCCUCCCCGUCCCAUUUGUGUCCUCUGGCCAUCGCCCUCUCUGGUAACGCCCAUCACUGCAAAGACCCUUUUCCUUCAUCGGCGUUUGCUGUUCUUCCUGCCAGUGCGUGUUGCUUUCACUUACACUUGCCACAGCCAGCCUCGUGAGUGCCUAGCCUAUUGGAUAUCACUGUCACCUACACAGGACAGUCAUUACCUUUCUAUUAAUACUUUGUGUUUUAAUUUCACAUUAAUUUCCAUAUUGUAUAAACGACUGGAAAAAACUUGAGCCCCUGCCCCUGUAUAAUCAUGUGCAUGUCUCUGUUCUAGCUCCAAGGUGAAUCUUCACUGCUCAUGUUCUCCUCAGAAGCACUCACCUCACUCCCCUCAGGUUACUGUACACAUGCACCAACUGCCUGCUUCAGGUUUGGAUGGAGCUUCAUGGUUGUCUUUUGGAGAAAUGACCAGUCAAGUUGUGUUUGAAAUUUGAUUUUUUUCAGGGGCAAAAGGAGCCUCUGCAUUCUUGUAAAAUAUGUAAAUAGCAUGUUUUUGCAGGUGCUAAAAACCAGACUCUGAGUGUGUGUGUGUGUGUCUGUGUGUGUGUGUGUGUGUGUGUGUGUGUCUGUGUGUGCGUUCAAGUCACAUGACAUAUUUAAUCGGAUGUAGCUGCAAGACGGAGCCUCGUUGACUCUCCGUUUCAACUUAUCUCAAAAGUGAGGACCUCAACCUAUAUACCAGUUUUUAAAUUGUGUUGAUAGGCCAAAUAAAACCAGAGUUAUGAUAAAUUAUGUCCGCGAUACUUUUUUUCUGCUUAUUUUGAUCACGUUCGGCGCUCGAUCGCGCUGUAUGAGACAGGAAAACAUAGCAUGCAGACAUUAGCAACAGCUCUUACAGGCGGAAAAGGCUUGCCAAAAGAAAAAAAAAACACACCACAACAUCUCUCCUAUUGGUGGAAAACUUCACCACAACAACCAAUCCAAAAUUAUAUGGUGACUGAAUGACAAGGGGCGGGCGCUUACGUUCUUCCUGCAACAUGAGAAGGGAGGGAGGGACUCUCAGCAGGGAUGCAGUCUGGGACACGUAGUUGCAAACCUAGCGACUUUGUUGUUAGAUUCAAUGACUUUUCAGACCCCCUAACGACUUUUUUUUAGAAAGAAAGGGACUUUUAUCGACUUCUUCUGGAGUUUAGAGACUCUGACAUGAAGCAGGCUUUCCUUACUGAGGAGUUAGCAACGCUGCUAAGGGUGCAGAGCCACACAUGCGCUCAGAGCUCUGCAUGGGAGACUGAAGCUGACAGAGCUGCAGCAGUUAGCAGGUUUCACCCUCAGAGACCACCAGGGGUUCAUGUUGAGGAAUUUUAAUUUUUUUCUUUUUUGUGCCAUAGACACUGUCAGCACAAUCUGCAGUUACACUAACAAAAAUGCUGCAAAAAACAAAGAAUUAUGGAAAAAUUACACAUGGACUGACAUAGAGGAGGAUCUACACAAGUUUUUUACAUCAUGUUUUACAUCAUGCAUCAUUUACAUCAUGUUUUUUUGUAGUGGCAUAAAUAAAAAGUGACAUUUGUGAGACUAUACAGUGUUUUGUAAAUAAUUUUACAAAGAACGCCUGGGCCAUUGCCUGCAUUUUGAUGUAAAUAGAGGUAAAUCACUAUGUUCUUUGUUAAAAAUUUGCAUAUGUUUUGAAGUUUACAAUUUUUAUUUGAAGUUUAAGUUUUAAAAACAGUUCAUCACACCUAUUUGUGGUUUUCACAGUAAAAAUGUUACUUUUUUCCACUCGGAUUUUAUGUUUUGUGUGUGAAUUUGGGUCCAUUGUGUAAAUUCAGUAUGUCAACAUGAUAAAAUAACUGUAAAUUCGCACAGGUGAGGUUGUGCUGAAAAAAAUGAUACCAGGCAAGGCACGUGAUUGUCAAAUUUUGUGUCAAUAUGACAAAGCGUAUAGGCGUGAAUCUCAACAAUAUGUAUUUUCACCUUAGGGGACAAGAAAAAAUGGACUUUUUUCUCCUGCCAUGGGGGGGCGCUCUUUUGGGGAGUAAAAAUUCCUUCACAAAUGUGUUGAUGGCUGGACAUUGCAUCAUCCUAGAAAACUUGGAGGCCAGUGAGGACAAAAAUAAAAAGUUAUAAGACUUUUAAAUAUGUGGAUUUUAGGGUUGUCUUUGGCGCCCCCUAGAACCUAAACCGUGGGGUGCAGCGUCAUGAUUUGAAUAACUUUUAAUGGCCAUGGGGUGUAGAUUGGCCUGAGCAAAUGAGGUGCCGGUGGACAGAAAGCCUUCGGAGGAGUUAGCGAAAUUCCAAUGUGUGCGGAUCGGCAAAAAAUGCGGAAUAACCCUUUAACCGUACAUUUGACAGAUACGCGCGCAUUGACUUUUUCGUAGAUCUUAUUGAGAUACACGUGAUUGUCAAAUUUUGUGUCAAUAUGACAAAGCGUAUAGGCGUGACACUCAACAAUGUGUAUUUUCACCUUAGGGGACAAGAAAAAAUGGACUUUUUUCUCCUGCCAUGGGGGGGCGCUCUUUUGGGGAGUAAAAAUUCCUUCACAAAUGUGUUGAUGGCUGGACAUUGCAUCAUCCUAGAAAACUUGGAGGCCAGUGAGGACAAAAAUAAAAAUUUUUGUCAAAUAUGUAAAUAGCAUGUUUUUGCAGGUGCUAAAAACCAGACUCUGAGUGUAUGUGUGUGCGUGUGUGUGUGUCUGUGUGUGUGUGUGUGUGUGCGUUCAAGUCACAUGACAUAUUUAACCGGAUGUAGCUGCAAGACGGAGCCUCGUUGACUCUCCGUUUCAACUUAUCUCAAAAGUGAGGACCUCAACCUAUAUACCAGUUUUUAAAUUGUGUUGAUAGGCCAAAUAAAACCAGAGUUAUGAUAAAUUAUGUCCGCGAUACUUUUUUUCUGCUUAUUUUGAUCACGUUCGGCGCUCGAUCGCGCUGUAUGAGACAGGAAAACAUAGCAUGCAGACAUUAGCGACAGGUCUUACAGGCGGAAAAGGCUUGCCAAAAGAAAAAAAAACACACCAC
rnacentral:lncRNA from 1 species